GAUGAACGCUGGCGGCGUGCUUAACACAUGCAAGUCGAACGAAGCACUUUUACAGAUUUCUUCGGAAUGAAGUUUUAGUGACUGAGUGGCGGACGGGUGAGUAACGCGUGGGUAACCUGCCUCACACAGGGGGAUAACAGUUGGAAACGGCUGCUAAUACCGCAUAAGCGCACAGUACUGCAUGGUACGGUGUGAAAAACUCCGGUGGUGUGAGAUGGACCCGCGUCUGAUUAGCUAGUUGGCAGGGCAACGGCCUACCAAGGCGACGAUCAGUAGCCGACCUGAGAGGGUGAACGGCCACAUUGGGACUGAGACACGGCCCAAACUCCUACGGGAGGCAGCAGUGGGGAAUAUUGCACAAUGGGGGAAACCCUGAUGCAGCGACGCCGCGUGAGCGAAGAAGUAUUUCGGUAUGUAAAGCUCUAUCAGCAGGGAGGAAGAAAUGACGGUACCUGACUAAGAAGCACCGGCUAAAUACGUGCCAGCCGCCGCAGUAA
rnacentral:rRNA from 1 species